CCUCGGGACGCAGCAGUGAGGAAUAUUGCACAAUGGGGGGAACCCUGAUGCAGCAACGCCGCGUGGAGGAUGACGCAUUUCGGUGUGUAAACUCCUUUUAUAUGUCAAGAAAAUGACGGUAGCAUAUGAAUAAGCACCGGCUAACUCCGUGCCAGCAGCCGCGGUAAUACGGAGGGUGCAAGCGUUACUCGGAAUCACUGGGCGUAAAGGACGCGUAGGCGGGUUGGAAAGUCAGGUGUGAAAUCCUACAGCUUAACUGUAGAACUGCACUUGAAACUUCUAAUCUAGAGUAUGGGAGGGGGAGAUGGAAUUAGUGGUGUAGGGGUAACAUCCGUAGAUAUCACUAGGAAUACCUAAAGCGAAGGCGAUCUCCUGGAACAUUACUGACGCUAAGGCGUGAAAGCGUGGGGAGCAAACAGGAUUAGAUACCCCCGUAGUC
rnacentral:rRNA from 1 species